rnacentral:misc_RNA from 1 species
GAUGAAGAACGCAGCGAAAUGCGAUACGUAGUGUGAAUUGCAGAAUUCAGUGAAUCAUCGAAUCUUUGAACGCACAUUGCACCUCUCGGUAUUCCGGGAGGUAUGCCUGUUCGAGCGUCAUUUGUACCCUCAAGCUCUGCUUGGUGUUGGGUGUUUGUUCCGCCUCUGCGUGUGAACUCGCCUCAAAACAAUUGGCAGCCGGCGUACUUGUUUCGGAGCGCAGCACAUUUUGCGAUCCAGAUCAACGUACAGCGGCAUCCAAGAAGCCUUAUUUAACGCUCUUGACCUCGGAUCAGGUAGGGAUACCCGCUGAACUUAAGCAUAUCAAUAAGCGGAGGA